UCAGAACUAGUGGAUCUCUUACAGUUCACCGGGUUAAAGUAGCUAUUCAGUCAUUUCCUAUUUACCCCACUUGCUAUCUGAAUUAUAAUUCUCUAUGCAGAAAAAAGAAGCCUAGAGUUAUAGCUAUGCUUUUUUUUUUUCAUUUGAAUAUGCCUCAGGUGAUAGAAUUGGAGCACGUAAGAGCAAACGCUGCCCACACCGGGGUUACCUUGGAUUUGCAGGAGGCAGACACCCAACACGAAGUGAGGUGCAUUUUGGUGUUGUUCCACCAAACUAUGAGCAAAUAAAUGUAUCCUGGUUUUUAAAUCUUUUGGCUGUACAAUAUGUCUGAAGGUCUGGGAUAAAUUCAGCUUUCACUUUACCUAGGAAACGCCAUCACUGGGUAACCUGUGUGGGAACUUCAAAGGAAAUGAACUGAGAGGGGAAGAUGUCCUGCCUUGUGUAUAAGCAGUACAACCCAGAGAAUGGGAUCCUGGGAGGAAUUACACAAAAGAACAGGAAGAGCUAGUCUUUCCAGUGCACGACUUUUCCUGCUUCUGAAAAUGCCUCCUUGUAAAACCCACAAAGGACCAUCACACUUCAGACAGUUCCUUCAGACAUUUCGGUAAGUGCAAAUGAAGUGUUUAAUCUUCUGGCAGAUCCAUAAUGUCCCACAGAUGUGCCCCUAGCUAAGAAAAUCACAUGGACAUCUAUAUGAGGAGUGUGGUCCAGUAACAGCUGCUAGAUUGCUGCUUGGGCUGGGAGUGAUGAUCCCAGCUGCUUUUCUGUCCUUCCUAGAGAGCUGUUAAGAUGAAGCCUUGAGACGAUCUUCUCUUAAUACAGCCAAUCAGGAGGCUCUUCCCCCAAACACAUUCCUCUGCAGAUGACAAGAGAAAAAAAAAAAGGAAAUAAAGUCCCUGGUUCAUUUUAAAGAUAACCUUGCCAGAAAGCACAUCUUCCUUAGAGGGAUUGGAGAAAGAGGAAGGAAAGAGACAGAAGGAAGAAGCAGGAAGUGGGUAAGAAAAAAAAAAAGGACACACUUUGGUCUCUGCAUGUGUCAAAGCGUGCUUUGUCUCCGUCAAGAAAUCUGUACUUAGGAAAAUUUCACAAGGGUAUGUCUUUACAUAUUAGCUCCAAGGGCAGAAAUGAAAGUGAACUUUCUUUCACUCAUUCCUGUUUGUUAAUUGUUUUGUUUUCAAGACUGGAUCCCUCAACGUAUUUCUGGCUUUCCUGGAACUCACUAUGUAGACCAAGUUGGCCUCAAAGUCACAGAAAUCUGCCUGUCUCUGCUUCCCAAAUACUGAAGUCAGGGCAAGAGCCUCUUUGCUCCACCCGCAAAUGAACUUUCAACCCGAACAUGCUCAAUUUGCACAGCCUCAUCCAUGAAUCAACUCUUCCUAUAAACCUGUUUGCAGUAUCAGAUUUUACAGUUUCUUCCAAGCCAUCGACAAAAAGACAGGUUAAUCCUUUAAAUGGAAACACUCGUGUCGCCCAUAGGAAAGUAUUUUCUGAGCAUGACAUGUACGACUUCAAGUUACCUGUAAUUUAUACUUUUUUUUUAAUAAGACAUGGUUAAGUAAAGGAUUUUUACAACUUUACAUAUUACCCGAUUCCAGCUAUUUUUUUCUAUAAGCAUUAGACAUUUAAUUCCAAUGCUUCACCUUUCAAUUUCUUUUUCUCAUUACAAAUGUGUUCAUUUUAAAGAUCUUGGAGUUUAACAACUGCUCA